UAGUUACUUUGAAGGUAAAGCUUUAGUCAGUAGAAUAGGAGCUCGUCAAGGACGAACCAUCGGUGGCUUCCAGACCACUCUCGUGUGAAACGCACAAGGGGAGUUCAU
rnacentral:ribozyme from 1 species